AAUCCCACAAAUGAAUCUGCUUACAUGAAUGUGUUUCUGCAGAAACUUGGGAAAAGCUGGCAAUGGUAAGCCAUGUUACAAGCCUUAAAGAUAUUGAAGUCAUUAAGGUCCCUAAAAAUGGCUAUAAGA
ensembl:snoRNA